UACGUAGGGUGCAAGCGUUAAUCGGAAUUACUGGGCGUAAAGCGUGCGCAGGCGGUUUUAUAAGACAGAUGUGAAAUCCCCGGGCUCAACCUGGGAAUUGCAUUCGAAACUGCGAGGCUAGGGUACGGAAGAGGGAAGCGGAAUUUCUGGUGUAGCGGUGAAAUGCGUAGAUAUCAGAAGGAACAUCAGUGGCGAAAGCGGCUUCCUGGUCCAGUACCGACGUUCAGGCACGAAAGCGUGGGGAGCAAACAGG
rnacentral:rRNA from 1 species